rnacentral:rRNA from 1 species
GAGUUUGAUCCUGGCUCAGGACGAACGCUGGCGGCGUGCUUAACACAUGCAAGUCGAGCGGUAAGGCCCUUCGGGGUACACGAGCGGCGAACGGGUGAGUAACACGUGAGUAACCUGCCCCUGACUCUGGGAUAAGCCCGGGAAACCGGGUCUAAUACCGGAUAUGACUCCUGCUCGCAUGGGUGGGGGUGGAAAGGUUGGUUUUCCUUCCGGUCGGGGAUGGGCUCGCGGCCUAUCAGCUUGUUGGUGGGGUGACGGCCUACCAAGGCGAUGACGGGUAGCCGGCCUGAGAGGGCGACCGGCCACACUGGGACUGAGACACGGCCCAGACUCCUGCGGGAGGCAGCAGUGGGGAAUAUUGCGCAAUGGGCGGAAGCCUGACGCAGCGACGCCGCGUGGGGGAUGAAGGCCUUCGGGUUGUAAACCUCUUUUACCACUCACGCAGGCCUUGGGUUUUCCUGGGGUUGACGGUAGGUGGUGAAUAAGGACCGGC